rnacentral:tRNA from 1 species
GGAGACUUGGCUGAGUGGCUGAAGGCGCUCCCCUGCUAAGGGAGUAGGUGGGAAACCCCUGCCUCAUGGGUUCGAAUCCCAUAGUCUCCGCCA